UACGUAGGGGGCUAGCGUUGUCCGGAAUCAUUGGGCGUAAAGCGCGCGUAGGCGGCCAGAUAAGUCCGGUGUGAAAGUCACAGGCUCAACCUGUGAAUGCCGCUGGAAACUGUCUGGCUAGAGUCUGGAAGGGGCGAGUGGAGUUCCUGGUGUAGCGGUGAAAUGCGCAGAUAUCAGGAGGAACACCAAUGGCGAAGGCAGCUCGCUGGAACGGUACUGACGCUGAGGCGCGAAAGCGUGGGGAGCGAACAGG
rnacentral:rRNA from 1 species